rnacentral:pre_miRNA from 1 species
GUUGGUCUGACUGGGUAAUCUCUGCAGGCAACUGUGAUGGUGAUUUAUAUUCUCACAAUCACCUGGAGAGAUUCUGCAGUUUGUCUAA